AUAAACUAAUUAAACUAUGCCAAAUAAUGGUGUUUAUUAAUGUUGUUUUAUAGUUGUGUAAUAAUGGUGUAUACCUCGUACCGUCUGACCUCUGUCUGUUUAUUAUUACUGUUUUUAACAUUAAUUUUGUAUUUUAAUAGUUGAAAAUAAUAUUGCUGUUGUUGUCAAAUUUCUUGGGGAAAGAAAAUUGUUCUUGCUUGUAAUAUUGCUGACAUUCUAACUAAUGUUUGAUUCACUACAUGAAUAUUUACGCCAAAGCUUAUAUGGUCCACAAGUUAUCUUUAAUAAAACAGAAUAUGAUGUAAGGAGUUGAAGAGGUAUCGAAAUGGAUGCUCAACCCUUGAUCAGUACAUGUAGUGGUUGUUUUGAUGGUUGUUUACUAUUUGCUAGAUUUGACAUAUUCUUGUUUUGGCCGGCUUCUUCCGG